rnacentral:rRNA from 1 species
AGAGUUUGAUCCUGGCUCAGAGCGAACGCUGGCGGCAGGCUUAACACAUGCAAGUCGAGCGGGCGUAGCAAUACGUCAGCGGCAGACGGGUGAGUAACGCGUGGGAACGUACCUUUUGGUUCGGAACAACACAGGGAAACUUGUGCUAAUACCGGAUAAGCCCUUACGGGGAAAGAUUUAUCGCCGAAAGAUCGGCCCGCGUCUGAUUAGCUAGUUGGUAGGGUAAUGGCCUACCAAGGCGACGAUCAGUAGCUGGUCUGAGAGGAUGAUCAGCCACAUUGGGACUGAGACACGGCCCAAACUCCUACGGGAGGCAGCAGUGGGGAAUAUUGGACAAUGGGGGCAACCCUGAUCCAGCCAUGCCGCGUGAGUGAUGAAGGCCCUAGGGUUGUAAAGCUCUUUUGUGCGGGAAGAUAAUGACGGUACCGCAAGAAUAAGCCCCGGCUAACUUCGUGCCAGCAGCCGCGGUAAUACGAAGGGGGCUAGCGUUGCUCGGAAUCACUGGGCGUAAAGGGUGCGUAUGCGGGUUUUUAAGUCAGGGGUGAAAUCCUGGAGCUCAACUCCAGAACUGCCUUUGAUACUGAAGAUCUUGAGUCCGGGAGAGGUGAGUGGAACUGC